rnacentral:rRNA from 1 species
AGAGUUUGAUCCUGGCUCAGGAUGAACGCUAGCUACAGGCUUAACACAUGCAAGUCGAGGGGCAGCAUAAACUUAGCUUGCUAAGUUUGAUGGCGACCGGCGCACGGGUGAGUAACGCGUAUCCAACCUUCCGUACACUCAGGGAUAGCCUUUCGAAAGAAAGAUUAAUACCUGAUGGUAUGAUGAGAUUGCAUGAUAGCAUCAUUAAAGAUUUAUCGGUGUACGAUGGGGAUGCGUUCCAUUAGGUAGUAGGCGGGGUAACGGCCCACCUAGCCAACGAUGGAUAGGGGUUCUGAGAGGAAGGUCCCCCACAUUGGAACUGAGACACGGUCCAAACUCCUACGGGAGGCAGCAGUGAGGAAUAUUGGUCAAUGGACGAGAGUCUGAACCAGCCAAGUAGCGUGAAGGAUGAAGGUCCUACGGAUUGUAAACUUCUUUUAUAAGGGAAUAAACCCUCCCACGUGUGGGAGCUUGUAUGUACCUUAUGAAUAAGCAUCGGCUAACUCCGUGCCAGCAGCCGCGGUAAUACGGAGGAUGCGAGCGUUAUCCGGAUUUAUUGGGUUUAAAGGGAGCGUAGGCGGAUUGUUAAGUCAGUUGUGAAAGUUUGCGGCUCAACCGUAAAAUUGCAGUUGAUACUGGCAGUCUUGAGUGCAGUAGAGGUGGGCGGAAUUCGUGGUGUAGCGGUGAAAUGCUUAGAUAUCACGAAGAACUCCGAUUGCGAAGGCAGCUCACUGGAGUGUAACUGACGCUGAUGCUCGAAAGUGUGGGUAUCAAACAGGAUUAGAUACCCUGGUAGUCCACACAGUAAACGAUGAAUACUCGCUGUUUGCGAUAUACAGUAAGCGGCCAAGCGAAAGCAUUAAGUAUUCCACCUGGGGAGUACGCCGGCAACGGUGAAACUCAAAGGAAUUGACGG